AUAUCUUUCUCAGCUUUUUGGCUAAGAUCAAGUGUAGUAUUUGUUCUUAUCAGUUUAAUAUCUAAUACGUGGACCAUUGGUUCACUAUGAUAUUAAAUUAAUUUUUGUUUUGGGGAGAUCAUCUACUAGAUCUUUCGUGUGUUAUCCUUGUGUUGUACUAUUGCAGGGUUCGUGUGUUAAUUCAAUUAAA